rnacentral:lncRNA from 1 species
UAUUCACAGGUGCAAUCAUAGUGCACUACAGCCUCAAACUCCUAGCCUCAAGCAAUCCUCAUGCCUCAGCCUCCAGAGUAGCUGGGCCUACAGGUACUUAACACCUCAUCUGGCAUCCCCCAGUCAGAUAUUUGGAUGAGACCCCUGCCUUGGCUAACACCUUGAUGAAAACCUGUGGAAGGUUCUAAGGCAGGACCCUCAGCGCAGCCACUUCUCCAGGCACUCGGCAGAGAGAACGCGCGUAGGCGUUGCCCUGGCAACGCCGGGAUGCCCAGCAACAAGUCCGCGGCGUGUAUCACGUGCUCGGCGCGGACCAAUCCGAGGGCCCGCCGGGAAGCAGGAGCAAUAGCAAAAAUUGGGAAUGGGAAGAAACAGGUACCAGCCAGGACACCUGAACGAACUUGGAGCUCAGGAACCCAGGAGGGGAUUGGAGAGAGUGGGGAGACUCCAUGGUCCACAAUGAAUGCUCCUUCCCCAUCCGAAAAAAUCCCCUAGCCCAGUUUUUGGGCAGAUGCCAGACUUUUAUUCUGAAGCGUGGGCCACAACCUAUGAGGUAAUCUUUGGAGCUUCAUUCUGAGGCGGAAUCCCAUUGGCCAGUUGGGGAAGCCCCUCCCAGGAUUCCUGGCGCUCCGCCUUCCCUGAAGCCUAUAAAAGCGCAGGUCCCCGCCUCGGCAGCCACGGGACACCUGCAUCUGCCAACAAGACUGGAAGCAGAAAGGGACAGAGACGGCGAAGUUUGACGGUCUGGAAAGCAGAGACCAGCAGGGCUGACUGCUUGGGAGCACGAGGGACAGCUCUCCACCGACCGAAGGAGGAGAAUGCUAUUUAUUUCAGCACCAAAUAUCCGGACAGCGCCUCUCGGGAGGUCCGAGAAGAGAACCGCGAUCUGUUUCAGCACCGGGGCUCAGGACAGUUCCCAGCGGGCUCCGUUUCGUCUCCAGAACCCUGGACAGCUCCUCCAGCCUCCCAAAGUGCUAGGAUUACAGGCGUGAGUCACUGCGCCUGGCCCAAGUCCGGAAUUUUCAACAGGACAUGGGUGUUACUGUGCCCAUGUGACAUUUGGGGAACCCAAGGCCCUGAGAAAGGCAGAAAAAUAACCCACGCAGGGACUCUCAGCCCACAAGUGAAGCUCUUGGAAUGCACUCCCUCCACCUCCAACCAGAGCUCCCCACAACUGACCCUGCCUUCUUCUGCAAGCUCCAUUUCAUCAAGGGAAACGAUCCUUAUUGCCUCACCAUUUCCCACGUGAAGUCUGUAUUGACAUUCUCAUAGACCUGGGAUAUUGUGUCUGCAGCACAUAGUCCAAUUAUUUUCAUGUUAUCUACUGACAGGUCUAUUUGUCUCCCUGUUACACUGUGAGCUCCGUGAGGGCAGAAACAAUGUUAGUAUUUUCACUGCUGUGUCCCCAGCGCCUGGUCCGGGGCCCGGCACACAGCAGGCAUAUAAUAAGCAUGUGUUGAAUCAAUAAAGGCAUCAAAGAAUAAACCAAUACAUCAAUCAAUAAAUGAAUGAAUGGCCUCAGCACACACAGGAAGAUCCUUCUUCUAGGUCUCCCCCAGAGAGAUACUGGAGGGCAAUGGUUGCUGGAGGUGUUUAUUGGGGAAGCAUAAUUGAAUUUGUGGACACUUAAGGGCCGGCCAGCCAACUCACAGCCCCAAGAGAGAGAGCCAGGCUCAUUUAAUUAGCAAUUACAAGGCACUGAUUCCUCAUUAGCUCUGGCAACCCUCGUCUCCCUCCUCAGCCCCAGACAAAUGAAAUCUUUCUCUCUCUCCCAGGAGUACUGCCUCAGUGGGUCCAUUAACAAGCAGAGAAAAUGAGAUUAGAAGACACCUAAAUGCCAGAGGCACUUUAUGAAUGGGCUGAGCAGAGGGAGGUUCAAUGUCUGGGUUAGGUCUAAUUGUGGGAGGUUUCCUGGUCUAUUUAGAAUUGCCCCCUGGGAAUGCAAGGUCUUUCAGAAAGGAAAAGGCACACAGAUAUUGCCUUCUGGGGUCCUCAAUGGAGGAGGACAUUCUGCUAUGGGUGUCUCCCAGUCACCCCAAAUUAAUCAUUUCAAAGUGAACACUCAAUCUGCCCAGCCCCUAGCUUCCUCCCCUGACAUGCCCAUGAAUAUGACAGUCCCUCUACAUGCCCAAGAUCCUCCCCUCCUCAUCCACUCCCCAUGAUCCCCAAGAUGAGUCACUGUGCUCAAAUCCAUCCUCUCUCCUCCAGCCCUCUGCCUCCAUGACCUCCCUCCAGCCCUCUGCCUCCAUGACCUCCGCCUCCCUGCAUGUCCGGAUCUCCUCACUGUCUCCCCUCUGAGCAUACACACACAUACAGCCUGUUCAUUCUCUACAUGCAGCGAGGGGACUUUCCAGAACACACAUCUGACCAAGUUCCACUCCUGCCUGUCACCCUUCCAAGAGCCCCACUGACUGCAGAAUAACGUUCAAAUAUCCGGUUGGGCGUGGUGGCUCAUGCCUGCAGUCCCAGCACUUUGGGAGGCCAAGGUGGGUGGAUCACUUGCACAGGACCACAGGCGUGUGCCACCACACCCAGCUAAUUUUUAUAUUUUUGGUAGAGACGGAGUUUCACCAUGUUGGCCAGGCUGACCUCAAGUGAUCCACCCGCCUCAACCUCCCAAAGUGCUGGGAUUACAGGCAUGAGUCACUGCACCGGUCUAAUUUUUUCAGAGUCUCACUCUUGCCCAGGCUGGAGUGCAGUAGCAUGAUCUCGGUUCACUGCAACCUCUGCCUCCUGGUUUCAAGCGAUUCUCUUGGCUCAGCCUCCUGAGCAGCUGGGAUUACAGGCACGUGCCACCACACUUAGCUAAUUUUUGUAUUUUUAGUAGAGAUGGGGGUCUCACCAUGCUGGCACAGUUGGUCUUGAACUCCUGACCUCAAGUGAUCCACCCACCUCGGCUUCCCAAAGUGCUGGGAUUACAGACGUGAGCCACCGCGCCCGGCCAGCCUUUAUUGAUUCUUUUUAAAGCCACACUAACCUUUUAUUUUCCCCCAAAGACCCCUGGGAGCCCUCAGUUUUUCCUGGCAGUUUCAUCUUUGUACCCCUGACCUCCCCACACACACGCCUAGCUCAGUGCUGGCAUCCAAUAUUCACUUUGGGUAUAAAUGCUUGUGCCUGAGCCUAUCACCUUCAUCACACAGAAAAUCCUGGAGGCCACACACCCCUGUAAAGACGAGCCAUUACCCACAGAGGUCCAACCAACUUACCACCCUCUCCCAGCCACCCCCAAGGACCCAGCUUGCAGCUGCCUGCUCAAUGGCUUUAGAAACUAAAAAAGGUGAAUGAGUUUCCAUCACUGCCCUCCUGGGCUUUGCCGUUAUGGCUGGUUAACUUGACAGAAGAACACAUUAUACUUCAUUUUUUGCUGUUGUCUUGUUGGAAAAAAAAGUGACAGCUGGGUGCAGUGGUGCACACUGUAGUCACAGCUACUCAGGAGAAUUGCUUGAGCACAGGAAUUGGAGGCUACACUGAGCAAUGAUCGCCUCACUGCACUCCAGCCUGAACGACAGAGCAAGACCCUCUUAAAAAAUACGUGAGAGAGGGUGCGUAUGAUGGCUCAUGCCUGUAAUCCCAGCAGUUUG